GGGCACGUAGCUCAAUGGUUAGAGCACGAAGCUUAUACCUUCGCGGUUCCUGGUUCGAGCCCAGGCGUGCCCA
rnacentral:tRNA from 1 species